GGGAGUCUGCUGCUAGUAGAUAUGUAUUCCAAGAUAUAUUAAAAGAUGUUCUUCAAAGAGUUAGGAGAAUGAUAUAUCAGAAACAUCAAUCUACAUAAAGAAAGAGCUCUCAGGAGAUUGAAGAUAAAAAUUUUCAACCAAAGGAAUUAAAAAGCUAUUAAAGGUUUUCAGCAGGGAUGGGACAAGAUCAUAUUCUCCUUUUGAAUGUUGUAUCAAGGAACUUCAGAGUUUUUAAGAGUUGGGGCUCAGAAGGUAAUAAGACUGCUUUAGUUGUCCAGGUGAGAGAAAGUGAGAGCUGAACUAAGACAACAGGCAUGGAAUAGAGAAAGAGGAGGUUGGGAGCAUUGCUACUUCUCAGAAAGCAUCCCAGUUGAUCUUAAUGCACAUCACAGGUUGAAAAAAUUAGUGCUAGAUUGAAAGCAGCAGGUGAAGACUGCUUGUGGCCUGAGACCCAAAGAAGAGUAGAAAUUUCCAAGAGUCUGUUAGUCUAACUAGCAUAGUUGAAAGGUUUUUAAAGACAACUUUUCCCGCAAAUUGAAAGUUUCAAUUCUCAAUCCUACCUUUAGAUUAUAUCCCACCUGAUAAUUUACAAUAAGGAAGAAGCUGGCAAGAUGCUGCAACGGGUUGAGAAUAAUCUUCCUGGGAUUGUUAAGCAACAGGGGUGAUAACUCCUUGGCAUCCAAAGAUGCGGAGGAAACAAAAUUCUAAAGACAAGGUUCCUUUGAUUUUGGGGAAUUCUCCUUUGUAUAAAGGAAACAGAGUGCCCUUGAUCUUACUUCUCUGAAAAUCUAUCAAGUAUUUCUCCUCCACCCUACCAAACUUGUUUGAAGAGGUGCCUGCAUCUGCUGCUUCCAAUUCUUCAUUCCCACAGCACUUUUCAGCGCAAGAGCCCAGCUCCCCGCCCUGCAAUUAGGCUCUACUUUGCAAGCACCUUGAUUACCUUUCAGCUGUUGUAACUAUGUUACAGACCUGACUCCCUAUUCUUUAAGCUCUAGUCUUGACUUUGAAAGUGCACAGUAAAUAGUUUCAGAAACAAGGGCCCACUGAACUUCUCCUACUUCGUAGCUGGUUGGCAUUUUAAAACUCCCCUUUAUUUUGAAUUCUAAAACUCAGUAUCUUUACCUCAAGCCUGCUUUUCUACCCAAGUCCUCCCAUCUUAGUUAACAGUAAAUAGUCCUUCAAUCUUGAUACUUAACUAGGUUCUCUUCCCCCACGCCAGAAGAGAAAACUUAUUCAAAAGACAGCCAAGCAAAGAGACGGGAGAAAAAGCCUCAUCACUCUCUCCUGAAGGCAAGGGGCAGGGAUAUUUAUUGACCAAGUAAACAAAGCCGUCAGAGGCGCAGAAAGCAUGAGGAGGGAAGGCAAAGGUGCUGGAAAAAGGUGCCAUAAUCAUUUUUCUGCGCAGGCGUAACUAACUACCGCAGCUGCGCCUUAUAAAAACAGGAACAUUAGCACGACUAGGGGGUGGAGCUAAGGUUGGAGUUGGGGCCCCGUUGACAUCACAGAUCACCCAGAGGACACUCGCACGGAAGGCCCAUGGUCCUACUGAGUCUUAACAACCUCAGCAAAAAUGGACCCAGCUAACGCUGACUUUCUGGAAAACACCUGAAGCAGACAUCUUAAUGUUUACGUUACGUGCUGCUUGGAGGACAGAGAGGAUUGAGGAUGAAUUCCUCCUGGAUCCCAGUAUAGGAAACACAACAGACAGAAAAAGUCAAAAACUUCCCAAACACUAUUGAGGUAAUGCAGUGGUGGAGCCAACACAGCCUUUGGACCUCUGUGGUAGAUAUACCUCUUCUCCUCCAAGUCCAUUGGAUCUUGUAAAAAAUUAAAAAGUUAUUAAAGCUAAAUAAAGUUGGGAGACCAGAAGGGAGAGACUCUGACUAUGGCAGAGCCCAACAGGGAGAAGGACUACUUUCCUGGCUAGAACUCAUCCAGUGCGGAUCAAUGGACUAAACUAUGGCCGUCCCAACUUUCUUUUCCUCUCUAGAAAGGUGUUCUCCUUCCCUUGAUGUGUGAGGACUUGCACGACCCAUGGUUGCAGACCCUGAAUUGCGAUUCUCUAAUAAAUCUCGAAUAAACCCAUCGUCACUGGAGAAAAAGCCAUCUAUUGUUUUCAGGUCAACACUCUUAAUUCCAUUCUGUGUUUACAACAUACUCUCCUGAUUCUCUCUUUAUAGUUUUCUAUAGUAAAAGAAUAUUCUCCUUACUUUUUUUCCUACGUUUGCAUUCCCCUACUUUUCAAUAUGUUUUGUGUUUGGCCAACACUAUGAAAGGAAAAAAUGGAAGCAUAUUAUCCAGCUGGCAGUGGCACUUCUCAUUUUAAAGAAAGGUAUUGUUUAUAC